rnacentral:lncRNA from 12 species
GGACCCUGAUGUUGGGGCCCUGAUGCCGGGGACCCUGAUGUUGGGGCCCUGAUGCCGGGGAGCCUGAUGCCGGGACCCUGAUGCCGGGGGCCCUGAUGCCGGGG